rnacentral:rRNA from 1 species
UGGGGAAUUUUGGACAAUGGGCGAAAGCCUGAUCCAGCAAUGCCGCGUGUGUGAAGAAGGCCUUCGGGUUGUAAAGCACUUUUGUCCGGAAAGAAAUGGCUCUGGUUAAUACCUGGGGUCGAUGACGGUACCGGAAGAAUAAGGACCGGCUAACUACGUGCCAGCAGCCGCGGUAAUACGUAGGGUCCAAGCGUUAAUCGGAAUUACUGGGCGUAAAGCGUGCGCAGGCGGUUGUGCAAGACCGAUGUGAAAUCCCCGAGCUUAACUUGGGAAUUGCAUUGGUGACUGGACGGCUAGAGUGUGUCAGAGGGGGGUAGAAUUCCACGUGUAGCAGUGAAAUGCGUAGAGAUGUGGAGGAAUACCGAUGGCGAAGGCAGCCCCCUGGGAUAACACUGACGCUCAUGCACGAAAGCGUGGGGAGCAAACAGG